ACACAUGCAAGUCGAGGGGCAGCAUGGUCUUAGCUUGCUAAGGCCGAUGGCGACCGGCGCACGGGUGAGUAACACGUAUCCAACCUGCCGUCUACUCUUGGACAGCCUUCUGAAAGGAAGAUUAAUACAAGAUGGCAUCAUGAGUCCGCAUGUUCACAUGAUUAAAGGUAUUCCGGUAGACGAUGGGGAUGCGUUCCAUUAGAUAGUAGGCGGGGUAACGGCCCACCUAGUCUUCGAUGGAUAGGGGUUCUGAGAGGAAGGUCCCCCACAUUGGAACUGAGACACGGUCCAAACUCCUACGGGAGGCAGCAGUGAGGAAUAUUGGUCAAUGGGCGAGAGCCUGAACCAGCCAAGUAGCGUGAAGGAUGACUGCCCUAUGGGUUGUAAACUUCUUUUAUAAAGGAAUAAAGUCGGGUAUGGAUACCCGUUUGCAUGUACUUUAUGAAUAAGGAUCGGCUAACUCCGUGCCAGCAGCCGCGGUAAUACGGAGGAUCCGAGCGUUAUCCGGAUUUAUUGGGUUUAAAGGGAGCGUAGAUGGAUGUUUAAGUCAGUUGUGAAAGUUUGCGGCUCAACCGUAAAAUUGCAGUUGAUACUGGAUAUCUUGAGUGCAGUUGAGGCAGGCGGAAUUCGUGGUGUGGCGGUGAAAUGCUUAGAUAUCACGAAGAACUCCGAUUGCGAAGGCAGCCUGCUAAGCUGCAACUGACAUUGAGGCUCGAAAGUGUGGGUAUCAAACAGGAUUAGAUACCCUGGUAGUCCACACGGUAAACGAUGAAUACUCGCUGUUUGCGAUAUACUGCAAGCGGCCAAGCGAAAGCGUUAAGUAUUCCACCUGGGGAGUACGCCGGCAACGGUGAAACUCAAAGGAAUUGACGGGG
rnacentral:rRNA from 1 species